UACGUAGGUGACCAGCGUUGUCCGGAUUUACUGGGCGUAAAGAGCGCGCAGGCGGUCGUUCAAGUCGAGUGUGAAAGCCCCCGGCUCAACUGGGGAGGGUCAUUCGAUACUGAUCGACUCGAAGGCAGGAGAGGGAAGCGGAAUUCCCGGUGUAGUGGUGAAAUGCGUAGAUAUCGGGAGGAACACCAGUGGCGAAGGCGACUUCCUGGCCUGUUCUUGACGCUGAGGCGCGAAAGCUAGGGUAGCAAACGGG
rnacentral:rRNA from 1 species